GCUGACUCAUCACUAGAGAGCGGGAAGGGCAGCAGCAGAGAAUUCAAACCCUAAAGCUGAUUUCUCCUCGCUGGGGCUCAGAGGGGAGCCAUCAUGAGCGAUGUUACCAUUGUGAAAGAAGGUUGGGUUCAGAAGAGGGGAGAAUAUAUAAAAAACUGGAGGCCACGCUAUUUCCUUUUGAAGACAGACGGCUCAUUCAUAGGAUAUAAAGAAAAACCUCAGGAUGUGGACUUACCUUACCCCCUCAACAACUUCUCAGUGGCAAAAUGCCAGUUAAUGAAAACAGAAAGACCAAAGCCAAAUACAUUUAUAAUCAGAUGUCUACAGUGGACCACAGUUAUAGAGAGAACAUUCCAUGUUGAUACUCCAGAAGAAAGGGAAGAAUGGACAGAAGCUAUCCAGGCUGUGGCAGACAGACUACAGAGGCAAGAAGAGGAGAGAAUGAAUUGUAGUCCAACUUCCCAGAUUGACAAUAUAGGAGAGGAAGAGAUGGAUGCUUCUACAACCCACCACAAAAGAAAGACAAUGAAUGAUUUUGACUAUUUGAAACUACUAGGUAAAGGCACUUUUGGGAAAGUAAUUUUGGUUCGUGAGAAGGCAAGUGGCAAAUAUUAUGCUAUGAAGAUUCUGAAGAAAGAGGUCAUCAUUGCAAAGGAUGAAGUGGCACACACUCUAACUGAAAGCAGAGUAUUAAAGAACACCAGGCAUCCAUUUUUAACCUCCUUGAAAUAUUCCUUCCAGACAAAAGACCGUUUGUGUUUUGUGAUGGAAUAUGUUAAUGGGGGAGAGCUGUUUUUCCAUUUGUCGAGAGAGCGAGUGUUCUCUGAGGACCGCACACGUUUCUAUGGUGCAGAAAUUGUCUCUGCCUUGGACUAUCUACAUUCUGGAAAGAUUGUGUACCGCGAUCUCAAGUUGGAGAAUUUGAUGCUGGAUAAAGAUGGUCAUAUAAAAAUUACAGACUUUGGACUUUGCAAAGAAGGGAUCACAGAUGCAGCCACCAUGAAGACAUUCUGUGGCACCCCAGAGUACCUGGCACCAGAGGUGUUGGAAGAUAAUGACUAUGGCCGAGCUGUGGACUGGUGGGGCCUUGGUGUUGUCAUGUAUGAAAUGAUGUGUGGAAGGUUACCCUUCUACAACCAGGAUCAUGAGAAACUUUUUGAACUAAUACUUAUGGAAGACAUAAAAUUUCCUCGAACACUCUCUUCAGAUGCAAAAUCAUUGCUUUCAGGGCUCUUGAUAAAGGAUCCAAAUAAACGCCUCGGCGGAGGGCCAGAUGAUGCGAAAGAAAUCAUGAGACACAGUUUUUUUUCCGGAGUAAACUGGCAGGAUGUGUAUGACAAAAAGCUUGUGCCUCCUUUUAAGCCUCAAGUAACCUCUGAGACGGACACCAGGUGUUUCGACGAGGAGUUUACAGCACAGACCAUCACCAUAACGCCGCCUGAGAGAUAUGACGAGGACGGCAUGGACGGCGUGGACAACGAGCGGCGGCCACACUUCCCGCAGUUCUCCUACUCGGCCAGCGGCCGGGAAUAGGCCUCCUCCAUCCUGCUGCUUCCCCGUCACCCUCGGUUUCUUACUGGACACGAUCCUGGACCUGUCGCCAGUCUCGCCGUUCCGGACAGCGGGGCGGCGCCACCCGCCGCCCAGGUCUCCACCGCGCCACCGUCGCCCCGUGAACACGCGCACACGCACACGCACACUCUCCAGGUUUUGUUUUUGCAUGAAAUUGUAUUUCAGUCCAAGGUCUCAUGCUGUUGCUGCUACUGUCUCACUAUGAUAGCAACUUCGAGAAGUAAGUUCCGUCUUCGGGAGUCAUGAGCCGCCCUCGUUCAUUCGUGCACCGGUUCUCGUUCGGUCUCGGAGUUUUCGCGUCUCCCUGCGGUGACGGCUCCACGAGACGCACUGAUUCUAGAGUGGAAGUUAGAGCGCCUGCGCCGCGAGCGCCCCGAGCGCGCCCCGAGCGCGCCCUGGGCGCGGGUGGCUGCUGGACGUGUGUCACGGCAGGUAACCCAGCAGGAAUGGAAACCCAAUGGCAGGAGGAAAAGUUUGGUCCUUGACACACCUGGUUGAAACAUGUGCCUUUUUGGUGUUCUGUUCACUACUACAAGGUAAAAAGGAAACGUUACAAUUCAAGGCUUUAACAAAGAUCAUUUAAUCAGAUUCCUGCGUGUAACUUAGCGUACAGAAGCGGGCUUAAGAACGGUCACGCGAGCCAUUUGCGAGGCCCCCGCGAGCUCUUCUCCCCGGCUGGGACUCCAGGUCGGGCUGACCCACAGUCCGGGGAGCCGGGGCAUGGGGAGGCCGCGCUGCAGUCCGGUGUCAGCCUGCCAUGGCCGCAGCGCGGUGGAGUGUGUGAAGUACCAAUCGGAUGAAUGUAAAUAUCUCUCUGUAAAUCAUUUAUUUCACUGUUUCAUCCAGGUCGGCAAUCAGAUUGUGGCAUGCUGGGUAACUGGAAAAAUGAUAAUAAAAAGUAAGUUUAAGUAGAUCACGGG